ACAGGGCGAGAGCCGGGCCGUCAGCGCCGACCAGCCCGGCCCAGCGUCCCGAUCGCGCUGUGCCCGCGGCCCCCGGCCCCAAAGGCGAGGGCAGCCCGGGAGCGCCGCCCGCAUGCUUGCGCCUCCCCGGCCGCCGCGCCAGGGGCCGGGCAGACUCAGUGAGUUCAUCCCGGUCGGCGGACUCCGGCGCCGAGAGGCCGCGCGGGCCUGGAGCCUCGGCUCGGCGCUGCGCGCUCCCCUUCUCCGGAGAUCCAGCGCUCGGUGGUAAUACAAGAGAGGAGGAACGAGCACGGCGCGGGGCAGCCGGCCGGGACCGAGACAGGCGAGCUUCAGUGCUAAGAGGAGUGGCCCUGAGAGAGGACAGACUCUUCACGGACCGCGGGGAGAGCAGCGGCUCCACCAGGAGACGGCGCCGACCCGCAGUGGCCGCCCGAGGGAGACCCCGACCGUCGGCCGAGAUGGCAAGGAUCCCAGUUCUGUGGGCUCCCAGUCUUCUCUGCAUCAGACGCUUUUACAGCUCUGACAUCAUGAGUUCUCAUGAUACCCCUAGAGGGCAGAGACCAUGAUCUCGGAAACUGAUUUCAUCAGCCUAGGAUGACAUUAACCAGGAUCUUGCUAGUUCUCAGCAUCAGUCUCUUCACUCAGGAGACCUUGUACCUUGCAGGGCCCUAUCCUUCGAGGUGUUUCAGGGAGACCCCGAGGGGUGUGGAAUGUGCACCCACAGGGCACAUGGGUUCGAUCCCUGGUCCCAGAAGAUCCCACAUGCGGAGGGGCAACUAAGAC